CACCAGUUUAUCAAUAGCUCUGGGCUGUUUGUAAUCUAUCUGUGCUGUAGGCGCUGGUACCAGGCAUAGUAUAUCUGCAGAGUCCAACAGUGUUCAGUGUAAAGUGCAUCAGUACCUCAGGUGGCUUCUUCAUCUCUCAAAGCAUUUCAACCCUCAUUGCACCUUGAAGCACCCUUGAAGUGACAGAGCAUCAUGGGCCACCAGGAAAAAGAAGCCUUACAAAGUAGCAGCAACCAUCUGUUGUGUUUCUGACCCCAGCAAACUGCAAGAAGAAAGGUGCUGCUCGCUGAGCUGGUGUGACUGAAUGAGGAUGAUAGCCACUGCUGAGCUUUGUAAGCAACUGAGCCAAAUGCAGUUGUCAGCCAUGGAUUGUAUCUGGAGAUCUCUGCUGAUUUCACCUGAGCUUCUUCAGCUUUGCAUCCCUAUAACUAACGGUAGAAUUAUAUUAAACUGUUACUUUUUCUUUCUCUACCCUUUAUGAACGCUUAUAAGCAAACCAGAGUAUACUAUUUGACUAUUUAUUAGUACUUGUCUCUGAUAGAAUUGAAGUGUAUGCCUAACAAAAAGUUGUCUUUAAGUGGGGAACACUCACUCCCCAUAAACAAGGCAGGACAUAGUUGGGUUUUGCAAUGAUCUCUGCAUUUCCAUACUUUUGACUAAAAGCUAUACAUGAUCUGGAUCUAUGUAGAUUGGAGGGGAAUGCUGAAAUAAGGUUGGUCAAUGAAAACUUUUAAAAAUAAGUAAGACACAUUUUUAAAACUUCAUAUAUGUGUCUGUUUUGUCAUUGGUGUGAUUUGUAUGACACGUGCAUUUGUGUGAUGUCUGUGACCUGCAAUCUGUGCCAGAAUUUCAGUGGUAUAAUAUACACUGGACCAAAUGUCAGAUAUUGACUAACGCAGCCAUUAAAAGAACUAAGUGACAAAUGUUGUAGGAUUUUAAAUUUUGACACGGAUGGCAACAAUUUUGACACAGUUACAAUAUUCUAAAUCCUACGGCAAAGCUGAGGAGAAUUUUACAAAAACCUGCAUUAGAACGCUAAAGGACAGUUCCAAGAAGUGAACAUUUCCCAUUACAGCCGCUAAAAGGAACAGAUUAUCUAAGUCAUUCUUAUAAGAUCCUAUUGGCUUAGUCAGUUGUAUGUUAUUGGGAGUAUAUUUAACAGAGUUUCGCUGAACAAAAUUUUACCUGCCAGCAGUACUGGUGGGAUUGUGGCUGCUAGAAGUGAUUUGUUUAUCAAUGAAGUGAGCACAGCACUCUCCUGUGUGUGCAGUCGUAUUGGUGUCUGACAGUAUGGCCAAGGUCAGCCAGGUGAUAAAUCCAUUUGUCCCUUUUUGCCUUGAUCAUGUACCCAACCUCAGUCAUGGUUGUGAAGAAGAGGAUGAGAGAGGUAAGGCAGAUUUUCCUUGUGUGAUCAGAGAGCAAAGGCAAGAGGCAGAUUCUUUACACUGCCAGGAGCGUGUACAGCUGGGGAGAAUCAGCCCUCUCGUUUCAUGGCAGAUAAUCAGUUUCGUAUUUUCCGUGGCAACCAUUAAUACACUACAGCCUUAGCUGUAGGCCUAUAGGUAAAGCUGUUUGCUCUGACUGCUUUUCUGUUUGUCCCCUGACAGCUGAGGAUUCUCCAGCAAGUCCAUGGCAUGCAGGGAGAUGUCCUGUCCUGUCUGUGAGACAGCAGUCAGAGCAGACUUGGGCUCAUUAUCUUGUAGCUGUAUUGGGAGAUCUAACUGAUCUGGAAAUACAUGAAAGAAGCUCCUUCUCACGUACACACAGCAGGAGUGCACAUAAGCCAAAAGAUGGUCUUUCAAAAUUGACAGGUACUACCUCUAAAUCAUAUUCCCUGUUGCUCAUUUUUGUUAAUAUUGGAAUCAUUAUACUGAUUCUACUGAACUGACUAGAUCCUUUUGCCAAGCCAUGAUGCUGAAGUAGUACAAAAUAAGAACAAAACCUUGAUAAUACUCUAAGU